GACCGCUUGGCCAAGUGGUUAAAGGCGCCCAUACUCAAUUUUACGGAUGCGUCAAAAUGAAAUGGCCUGGUGUGGGUUCGACCCCCACAGUGGUCG